rnacentral:rRNA from 1 species
UAGGGAAUCUUCGGCAAUGGGGGGAACCCUGACCGAGCAACGCCGCGAGAGUGAAGAAGGUUUUCGGAUCGUAAAGCUCUGUUGUUAAGGAAGAACGAGUGUGAGAAUGGAAAGUUCAUGCUGUGACGGUACUUAACCAGAAAGGGACGGCUAACUACGUGCCAGCAGCCGCGGUAAUACGUAGGUCUCGAGCGUUGUCCGGAUUUAUUGGGCGUAAAGCGAGCGCAGGCGGUUAGGAAAGUCUGAAGUGAAAGGCAGUGGCUCAACCAUUGUAGGCUUUGGAAACUGUUUAACUUGAGUGCAGAAGGGGAGAGUGGAAUUCCAUGUGUAGCGGUGAAAUGCGUAGAUAUAUGGAGGAACACCGGUGGCGAAGGCGGCUCUCUGGUCUGUAACUGACGCUGAGGCUCGAAAGCGUGGGGAGCGAACAGG